AGUGAACGCUGGCGGUAGGCCUAACACAUGCAAGUCGAACGGCAGCACAGUAAGAGCUUGCUCUUACGGGUGGCGAGUGGCGGACGGGUGCGGAAUACAUCGGAAUCUACUUUUUCGUGGGGGCUAACGUAGGGAAACUUACGCUAAUACCGCAUACGACCUACGGGUGAAAGCAGGGGAUCUUCGGACCUCGCGCGAUUGAAUGAGCCGAUGUCGGAUUAGCUAGUUGGCGGGGUAAAGGCCCACCAAGGCGACGAUCCGUAGCUGGUCUGAGAGGAUGAUCAGCCACACUGGAACUGAGACACGGUCCAGACUCCUACGGGAGGCAGCAGUGGGGAAUAUUGGACAAAGGGCGCAAGCCUGAUCCAGCCAUACCGCGUGGGUGAAGAAGGCCUUCGGGUUGUAAAGCCCUUUUGUUGGGAAAGAAAAGCAGCAGGUUAAUACCCCGCUGUUCUGACGGUACCCAAAGAAUAAGCACCGGCUAACUUCGUG
rnacentral:rRNA from 1 species